CUCGAGGGGCGGGGCCACACCUCCGCCCGUCCCGCCCACCUCCGCUCGCCCCGCCCCAGGUGAGCCCCAAGAGGCGGGGCCGCGCGUCGCUCGCCCCGCCCACCUCCGCUCCACUCGCCCUAGGUGAGUCCCAAGGGGCGGAGCCGCGCGUCGCUCGCCCCGCCCACCUCCGCUCCACACGCCCCAGGUGAGCCCCAAGAGGCGGAGCCGCGCGUCGCUCGCCCCGCCCACCUCCGCUCCACACGCCCCAGCCCAGCCAGGCCCGCAGCGCUCGGGGUAAACUGCCUGAGUCCACCGAGGUCGCCGUCUGGCUCAUACUGGAAAAAGCAGGCACUCCUUGACAGUGCGUAGGACGCCCCCUGCCUGCGAGGCGACCAGAGGCGGCCAAGGCUGCCACCCCGGGACGGCUGGAAAAGAGUUGGCAGAAGGCUGCAGGGUUUGGGGUGAAGGAGACCCCUUCCUGCUGCCAGAUCUUGACGACCCAAGCCCAGCCUGAGGUCCUCCUAACACCACCUCUUGCUCUGCGGCCAGUUUCUCAAGUUUACCCUUGGCAACUGUUUGCAGAUGAGGAUAUUCCCAAGGCGACAUGACUUGAGACGCAUGCGCCACUUACCAAUUGCCUUAGUGCGCUAUAAAUACUCAUUUUUAAAAACCAAAUCUGCAGAACAUAUCUUGUGUUUUUUUCUUUGCUGGCCAGUGUUAAUUCAGUAAAUAUUUGUUGA